GCGCCCGUAGCUCAGCAGGACAGAGCGCUAGCCUCCUAAGCUGGAAAUGGCCGUUCGAGUCGGCCCGGGCGCA
rnacentral:tRNA from 1 species